UUGAGAGUUUGAUCCUGGCUCAGGACGAACGCUGGCGGCGUGCCUAAUACAUGCAAGUCGUACGCUUCUUUUUCCACCGNGAGCUUGCUCCACCGGAAAAAGAGGAGUGGCGAACGGGUGAGUAACACGUGGGUAACCUGCCCAUCAGAAGGGGAUAACACUUGGAAACAGGUGCUAAUACCGUAUAACAAUCGAAACCGCAUGGUUUUGAUUUGAAAGGCGCUUUCGGGUGUCGCUGAUGGAUGGACCCGCGGUGCAUUAGCUAGUUGGUGAGGUAACGGCUCACCAAGGCCACGAUGCAUAGCCGACCUGAGAGGGUGAUCGGCCACAUUGGGACUGAGACACGGCCCAAACUCCUACGGGAGGCAGCAGUAGGGAAUCUUCGGCAAUGGACGAAAGUCUGACCGAGCAACGCCGCGUGAGUGAAGAAGGUUUUCGGAUCGUAAAACUCUGUUGUUAGAGAAGAACAAGGAUGAGAGUAACUGUUCAUCCCUUGACGGUAUCUAACCAGAAAGCCACGGCUAACUACGUGCCAGCAGCCGCGGUA
rnacentral:rRNA from 1 species